rnacentral:lncRNA from 1 species
CAGAAGGGAGAGGUCAAAAGGAUUAGAAGGGAAAAUGAAAAGAGCAUAAAAAAAGGGAUAGGUUCAGGUUUUGGCAGUUAGAGAAGUUGAGGGCGAUUUCUUGAUGGCGAAUCAAUCUCGAAAGGCUCAAGCGCAGCAAUCGGGCGAUGGUAGAAGACGAUGACGGUGGACACACUUGGCGACGGCAACAAUAAUGGGAGGCAAAGGAAGUGCAGAUGGAGCUGGCGCUACCAGUAGUAGGUGGUGUCGAAGGUGCUAGCAGCAGGUGGUGUUGAUAACGCUGGCAGCGGGCGACGGUGAUGGGCUGGCAGUAGGUGCGUCGAUGGUGCUGGACUUCAAGUCGUAGAAGAAAUUGCGAAUGGAAAAGAUACAGAUAAAGGGACUCACUCCCUAUGGACUUAUUCCAGUCGAUGCAUAAAUGUGGAGGAAAAUUAGAAAACACAUCUCAUUUAAAAAAAAAAAAAAAACAUUCUUCUUCAAUUUUUUUUUAUCAUCCAAUGCAUAGAAUAAUUAAAGAGCUUUUCCUGACAGUGAUAAGCUCAAAACAAAAUCCUAAUAAUAAAAUCUCUACCAAAAUAACAACUUUCCUAACAACUUUUAGAUAAAAUCAUAACAAUAAAAUCUCUACCAAAUUAACAACUUUCUUAACAACUUUUAGAUAAAAUUCUAACAACUAGAUAAGUUCAAAUAAUCAA